UUGGGAAGCCGUGAUGCGGAGCGAAAUAAAGUAGUGAAGUCCGUGAGCCAUGCGUCAAGAAAAGCCGCUAUUGUUUAUACCGUACCCGUACCGUAAACCGACACAGGUGGAUGAGGAGAGAAUCCUAAGGCCGGCGGAAGAAGCAUUGUCAAGGAACUCGGCAAAAUGGCCCCGUAACUUAGGGAUAAGGGGUGCCUGGGAAACCAGGCCGCAGAGAAUAGGCUCAAGCAACUGUUUAGCAAAAACACAGGUCUAUGCGAAACCGAAAGGUGAGGUAUAUGGGCUGACGCCUGCCCGGUGCUGGAAGGUUAAGAGGAGAGGUUAGCGCAAGCGAAGCUUUGAAUUUAAGCCCCAGUAAACGGCGGCCGUAACAAUAACGGUCCUAAGGUAGCGAAAUUCCUUGUCGGGUAAGUUCCGACCCGCACGAAAGGCGUAAUGAUUUGAGCGCUGUCUCGACAAUGCAUCCGGUGAAAUUGAAGUACCAGUGAAGAUGCUGGUUACCUGCGCCAGGACGGAAAGACCCCAUGGAGCUUUACUCCAGUCUGGUACUGGGACUCGGUAUUGCAUGUACAGGAUAGGUGGGAGGCUAGGAGAUGGUAACGCCAGUUGCCAUGGAGCCGCUGUUGGGAUACCACCCUUGCAGUAUUGGGUUUCUAACCAGCCGCCGUGACCCGGCGGUGGGACAAUGCCAGACGGGGAGUUUGACUGGGGCGGUCGCCUCCGAAAGGGUAUCGGAGGCGCCCAAAGGUUCCCUCAGAAUGGACGGAAACCAUUCGAAGAGUGCAAAGGCAGAAGGGAGCUUGACUGCGACACCGACGGGUGGAGCAGGUACGAAAGUAGGGCUUAGUGAUCCGGUGGUAUUAAGUGGGAAUGCCAUCGCUCAACGGAUAAAAGCUACCCUGGGAUAACAGGCUUAUCACUCCCAAGAGUUCACAUCGACGGAGUGGUUUGGCACCUCGAUGUCGGCUCAUCGCAUCCUGGGGCUGUAGUAGGUCCCAAGGGUUGGGCUGUUCGCCCAUUAAAGCGGUACGCGAGCUGGGUUCAGAACGUCGUGAGACAGUUCGGUCCCUAUCCGGCGUGGGCGUAGGAUAUCUGAGAGGAGCUGUCCUUAGUACGAGAGGACCGGGAUGGACGGGCCGCUGGUGCAUCGGUUAGACUGCCAAGUCUACGGCCGAGUAGCCAAGCCCGGAAGGGAUAAACGCUGAAGGCAUCUAAGCGUGAAGCCCCCCUUAAGAUGAGAUAUCCCAUUCGUUAAGAAGUAAACCCCCUUGAAGACGACGAGGUAGAUAGGGCAGAGGUGGAAGUGCAGCAAUGCAUGGAGCUGACUGUUACUAAUCGGGUGAGGGCUUGACCG
rnacentral:rRNA from 1 species